UACAGAGGUCUCAAUCGUUGUUCGGAUUCAUUGGGCGUAAAGGGUGCGUAGGCGGCGCGGUAAGUCGGGUGUGAAAUCUUGGAGCUUAACUCCGAAACUGCAUUCGAUACUGCCGUGCUUGAGGACUGGAGAGGAGACUGGAAUUUACGGUGUAGCAGUGAAAUGCGUAGAUAUCGUAAGGAAGACCAGUGGCGAAGGCGGGUCUCUGGACAGUUCCUGACGCUGAAGCACGAAGGCCAGGGGAGCAAACGGG
rnacentral:rRNA from 1 species